CCUCUGAAAUCCUUAUUUCUACACUGUAAAAAGCUCUUCAAGGGUGUUGUCUAUAGGAAUUUAUUUUAAAAAGUAUAUUUCUUCCAAUAAAUUGAUUCCCUUUUCUUUUUGAAUUCAUUUAAGUUUUGCAUAAGUAAAAAGUGUGAUUGUUUUUGUAACUUAUUAUUACCUAUCAAAAAAUUGUUUUUUACUUACCUUCACAAUAAAUUGCUUCUACAAAACUCUAUUUAAGUGUUUAUAUCCAAAGUAAUACGUCACGACCCGCUCACAUGCUGCAGCAGAACAACGACAUCGAUGCUCAUUGUCACCUGUACCGGACCAGUUUCGGAUUUCUUUGGAGUUUUUGGGGGCUUUAUACAGCGUGCAGCACAUAAGACCAUCAGAUCUACUGAUCUGGAGCAGCUGAUCAACGCAUCAAGAACUUUUAUUGGAACUGAUACAGGAUCCAAGUACCUCUGUGGUGAAGAAGAGAGACGUGACUCUGAGAUGCCUCAUUGAAUACAUGGGAGAGAGUGGGCAAGAGCUAAUCUCUGACUACUAUGGAAAAACGGAGAGCAGUGUCCAUGAGGACUUGAAAAUAUGCAGAUACAUGUCUGCCGUGAACCAGAUGCAGUGGGCAUCAUCUUUGAGGGAAUCCCAGUGCUUACUGAUCUUGGAAAUCUGGCCAGGGCGUGUUGCCUGCUUCUGGGGAUGACAUGCUCUGAACCUGCAGUAUCCACCACAACUCUGCAAAACAUUUGAGGUGUUCCAAAGACUUUUUGUGGGACUUGACACACUGCGCCCAAA